GUCCUCACCCAAUCUGGAUGACCAGUCAUAUAUUCUUGAUAAUCACAAUGCAAUUUUAGGGGCUAUACAAAAAGAAUUUUAAAAAUCACAAACUUUGAUAGAACAAGGAAGAUUAUGAAGACAACAACAUGUUAAGUAGAAACUUGUACAUGUUACACUGAUUUAACCAAUUCAAAAGUUUCCUUUUGCGCUGAGACUACAGCAGCAUACUUGCAACAAAUGUAGCAUAAAGGUUUUCAAUUUCCAAAAUUGCAUUCAAUCCAAAUAUAUAAGUAGAAAUACUUCGAAUUGGUCCCCUGGAGCAAUUCUAUGUCAAAAUCAUUCGAUCAAAAAAAUAAAUUCGCUUAAAAGAUUCAUCAGAACACUCACUCCCUCAAUUCCCCAAUUCUGAAUGGCAGAAGCAAAUUCAGAAAUCCCUAAAUUAAUUCCAAAAGAAGGGGAUUGUAUCUGUGAUUGAUAAUGAAAUCUAAUUUGACAAAAACAUGUACAUACAGAGAACGAGAGAGAGGAAGGAAGAGAGGCCAACCUGUGGGAGAGAGAGAAGACAACGUGAUCGGUGGAAGGACCGGGAUUAAAGUCGACGAGGAGGAAAAGAGAUUAGACAUGAUAAAUCAAAAACACGUCUUCUCUCGCCCUGUGUUUUAGGAAUCAAGAAUCAAAAGAGAUUUAAACAAAAUGCUGUUUUGAAACAACAAAUCUACAAGCAAGAUUUAAAAGUUUAGUUCAAAAACAAAAGCUUAAAAAGAGAAGAAAAAUAACGAGGCAAAUCACAUCUCACACACAACAGUCCAAAGACAAUGUGUGCAAUGAGUGUAAUUUUGUGAGUGAUGGCAGAGCUGAGAAGGAAUGAGCGGAAAUGGGGCAGAACUAGCAGCAGAAGCGUUGAGCUGCUCUUCGAAGAAAUCUAUGUGGGGUUGCAGGGACCAGUGGAGAUGGUUACUUGGUUCUGUUCGUGGGUCUUGUGAAGAUUUUGGAGAAAAAGGCUUUUUGUGUAGACGUAUUGAGUUGGGUUUUAAAGGAGAAAAGGGGAACACUAAAAUGAAGAAAUGGGUGAAGAGUGAGGAGCUGAAGCUGGGGUGUUGUCUGUGCAGGUUAUGCUUUGCGGCGAGGAAAGGUGAAGACGAAAAAUG
rnacentral:misc_RNA from 1 species